rnacentral:rRNA from 1 species
UACGUAGGGGGCUAGCGUUGUCCGGAAUCAUUGGGCGUAAAGCGCGUGUAGGCGGUCCGGUAAGUCCGCUGUGAAAGUCGGGGGCUCAACCCUCGGAUGCCGGUGGAUACUGUCGGGCUUGAGUACGGAAGAGGCGAGUGGAAUUCCUGGUGUAGCGGUGGAAUGCGCAGAUAUCAGGAGGAACACCAAUAGCGAAGGCAGCUCGCUGGGACGGUACUGACGCUAAGGCGCGAAAGCGUGGGGAGCAAACAGG